rnacentral:rRNA from 1 species
UACGGGGGGAGCAAGCGUUGUUCGGAUUUACUGGGCGUAAAGGGCGCGUAGGCGGCCACCGCAAGUCAGUUGUAAAAGCUCUGGGCUUAACCCAGAAAGGUCAACUGAUACUGCGGGGCUAGAGUGCAGAAGGGGCAACUGGAAUUCUCGGUGUAGCGGUGAAAUGCGUAGAUAUCGAGAGGAACACCUGCGGCGAAGGCGGGUUGCUGGGCUGACACUGACGCUGAAGUGCGAAAGCUAGGGGAGCGAACGGG